UGCAGCACCACGACGGCAUUGUCAUUGAUUAAUGCCAAGUUGUAUUAUACAUCCCAAUGUGUCCCUUGAAAACAAUUUUCUUUCUCUCUGUUUUGCGGCAACUGCGACGGCAGCACCGGCCUGCGACGGCUCACAAGCUAUCACCUCCAAUGCGGCUGGAGUAGCAUACUACUCCGUUUCGUCUACCGGCUGAGUCGUAAUGUCAUAUGUAAAACAUACAGAUAUAAACUAUGCAUGAUUCAUUGGCUGACGUCAUACUGGCUAUUUUCUUCCUAUUGACAUGUAUCCUUCUGACACAUCAAUUAGACGUGUGUAUAUGUACUUCGUGCUAGCUUCAGUUAGAAGUAUAUCUACCCCCUAUUUAAUAUCACAAUUUUGAAGUAUAUGCACUUCAUAGCAAAUACUACAUACGACCAUACUCCAUAACACCUUCUAUAAGAAUUACAGGAAUAUAUAUUCUAGCAUGUUAAUAAUAAAAAAAAUCUGCACUACUCGCCCACGAAAAAACAGCUCCAUACUACCUUAUCUAAACUGACAUGUANAAUCUGCACUACUCGCCCACGAAAAAACAGCUCCAUACUACCUUAUCUAAACUGACAUGUACAUACAUACUCCAUACUCUUGGUCUAUGCUACCAUACUAUGAUACUCUAUACUACCCUAUUAAAAGUGAUGUGUACGUGCAUAGUAUCCUAUCUAAACAAAGUAAAAUAUACAAAUUAUAUAAGUUCCAUCUAGACAAAAAUCAAGCAGAAAAUUGAACUAGCACGUACAUUUGUUAUUAGAUUAUUAAAUCACAUGAUUUAUUUUACCCAGCCAAGCUAGAGUACCUACCAUCCCAAGAAAUUAGCGCCAACAAUUAUCUUAAGUACUCUUCACGUGGGAUGAGAGUUAGCGGGUUUAGAAUGACCCAGCAUACGCCCAUUCACCAGGUUUGUUUGGUGGUAAGGUGAGGGACACGCGGAGACCAAAGAAUUAGGUGGUAACUACCACUGCUUGUAGAUAAAAUUUGUCAUAUAUAUAUAUGNN
rnacentral:lncRNA from 1 species